AUUCUGAGGAAAACACAAACAGCAAAGCAAUUCUGUGCUUACAUGGGGGAAAUUCUCAUGUAGAAAGCUAGGAUUAUUACUUGGCAAUAGUAAGAAAGAGGAGAACACAAGGAUGGGAGAGUCAAGGGGCAUGAUUCACUUGGUUUUCAGAUGAGAGCAAACCAAAGGACUAAAGGCUUUUUCCAAAGCAGAAGAGAAGAGGAGGCACUGGGGAAUCCAAGAGUAAAGCAUGAAGAAGUACUAACUGGAUUCUUGGCCAAGAUACAGGCUAUAGUUCUCUUCAGCAAUGUUAUCUUUUCAAACCUAAACAACAGCAGCAAUAAUACCUGUCUAUGCAAACUCAUAUGACCUUACUACAUCACUGAGAAAUAUAGGAAAUGUUCAUAAAAACUAAAAAUACUAGUUCUACAUUUCUUCAGGCCACUAUUGAUCAUCAACAUAAUCAAUGCUAU